GAGUAGCUCAGCAGCACAGCAUCUGUUUGGCAUGCAAAAGGUCCCAGGUUCAAUCCCUGGCAUCUCCA
rnacentral:tRNA from 1 species